rnacentral:rRNA from 1 species
AACGAACGCUGGCGGCGUGGCUAAGGCAUGCAAGUCGAACGGUCAUACUUUGAAGGCAACGGAUGAGUAUGAUAGUGGCGAACGGGUGAGGAAUACAUAGAUAACGUACCCUAGACUCAGGGAUAGCGGCGGGGAAACCCUUUGCGAAAGUGCCGGUAAUACCUGAUGACCCCGUAGGAUCGCAUGAUCCAGCGGGCAAAGCUCAGGCGGUCUGGGAUCGGUUUAUGCCCAUCAGCUAGUUGGUGAGGUAACGGCUCACCAAGGCUGCGACGGGUAUCGGGCGUGAGAGCGUGACCCGACACAUCGGAACUGAGACACGGUCCGGACACCUACGGGUGGCUGCAGCAACGAUAUUCCGCAAUGGGCGCAAGCCUGACGGAGCGACGCGCGUGCAGGAAGAAGUCCCUCGGGAUGUAAAGCCCUUUUGUCCGGGAAGAAAUCGCAAGGGUGAAUAGCCUUU